rnacentral:lncRNA from 1 species
CGAAACUCAUCGAACCUCCAGUGUGCAAAGAGCCACCUGUUUGAGACGUUGUAUUUGCCUUUGCCCGUUCCCUCCUCGCCCUAUAUUUAGGAGUAUCCCAUUUUUCUAAGAACUGGACCCACACAUAGCAUUCAGUUAACCAUAUUUUCCAAGUUCCUCCAGGCCUCAUACAAGUGUUCUUUGAUCCGUAAAGCUACUUUCAACUUGAAUAUGCGUUGUAUUUCAUUUUCAUAACAAAAAUUUCAUGCACACUUUGUCUGUAAAAUAGUUUAAUAUAAAGUCAUGAAAUGAGUUAACGAAUACAAAGGUAAAUUCAUCAUUGAUAGCAUACUGAAAUGGUAAAUUCUUUGAUUUUGAUUAAAUUCUUUGAUUUUGAUUAUACCAUAAACUGUUUUCACAUAAGAAUUCUG